rnacentral:rRNA from 1 species
GCUGUCCUUAGUACGAGAGGACCGGGAUGGACAUACCUCUGGUGUACCAGUUGUCGUGCCAACGGCAUAGCUGGGUAGCUAUGUGUGGACGGGAUAAGUGCUGAAAGCAUCUAAGCAUGAAGCCCCCCUCAAGAUGAGAUUUCCCAACUUCGGUUAUAAGAUCCCUCAAAGAUGAUGAGGUUAAUAGGUUCGAGGUGGAAGCAUGGUGACAUGUGGAGCUGACGAAUACUAAUCGAUCGAAGACUUAAUCAA